GCCUUGUUUGUCAUUUUAUACACAAAGUAGUAGCUUUCAUAAAAAGCUGUAGUAGUAGCUUUCAUUCAGUAAAGCUGCACUAUUUGUUGUCUUGGGUCACACAUAAAAGCUGUGAUUUUGGAUUUAUCUGCCAUUAAGAUACUAUUAAGUGUCUAUCUUAUUUCGGAGUCGCAAUAUUUUGCAAUUUGAGAUAUUAUUCUUUGAAUUGAGAAUCAUUUAAAUACAUAUCAGUGAAAUGGCAGGAAUUGGGGACAAAAAGGACAAGAACAUUG
rnacentral:lncRNA from 1 species